rnacentral:lncRNA from 1 species
GCGCACAUAGCAGUUAUUAGUCGAUCGAUAAGCCUACGAUAUUAUACAUAAAAAUUUCUAAAAAAAUGGGAAGGGUGGAGGCUGGAGUGCGCCAGGUAGAGCUAAGCCUACUGUGGUGAAGUUCUGACUGACUGAGUGACCUAAGGGGGUGUUUCCAGAGUGGCGAAUGGAACAUUUCUGAUCCAGCUGCUGCACGUCCAGUGACGAUAGCGUAGACCUAAACUAUUAAGUUUAAAGUUUGUUACCGAGCGCUUAAUGAACAAUUCGGAAUGUAAUCGGGCGUAAUCGAGCUGAAUCGAGCUGGCCGCAUUCCUUUAUAUUUGCGUAGAGGGCAUCACGAGAUUUGCACAAGCUUCUGUACCCUCCUUUGCAUUGAGGACGUCCCCAACAUGUAAAUGGAAUUGCGAGCGAAUGGAGCAUUUCUUUCUGGGCUUAUUCCUCCGCCGCACUCUUCCAUUUCUCCGCCAGGAAAGUAUGAAGUACCCAGAACUAAUAUUAAGUCACCGAGCGCUUAUUAUUAAGUUUGCCGCUCCCACUUUCCGCAAUCCAUUAUUACCGAUUUGUCGCCGGCCGGCGGCGUUUUCGUUCAAAUCUCACUCACCAAAUGGUUAAUACACUGUAAAGGAUGAUCGAAGUUGAAUUCAACAGUGCCGGCGGAGAGCUAUG